UACGGGGGGUGCGAGCGUUGUUCGGAUUUAUUGGGCGUAAAGCGCGUGCAGGCGGUUUGUCAAGUCUGAUGUGAAAGCCCCGGGCCCAACCCGGGAAGUGCAUUGGAAACUGGCAAACUUGAAUACGGGAGAGGAGAGUGGAAUUCCUGGUGUAGGAGUGAAAUCCGUAGAUAUCAGGAAGAACACCAAUGGCGAAGGCAGCUCUCUGGGACGGUACUGACGCUGAGACGCGAAAGCGUGGGGAGCGAACAGG
rnacentral:rRNA from 1 species